rnacentral:rRNA from 2 species
GUUAUAUGGUCAAGUGAAGAAGCGCAUACGGUGGAUGCCUUGGCAGUCAGAGGCGAUGAAAGACGUGGUAGCCUGCGAUAAGCUUCGGGGAGUCGGCAAACAGACUUUGAUCCGGAGAUCUCUGAAUGGGGGAACCCACCUAGGAUAACCUAGGUAUCUUGUACUGAAUCCAUAGGUGCAAGAGGCGAACCAGGGGAACUGAAACAUCUAAGUACCCUGAGGAAAAGAAAUCAACCGAGAUUCCCUUAGUAGUGGCGAGCGAACGGGGACUAGCCCUUAAGCUUCAUUGAUUUUAGCGGAACGCUCUGGAAAGUGCGGCCAUAGUGGGUGAUAGCCCUGUACGCGAAAGGAUCUUUGAAGUGAAAUCGAGUAGGACGGAGCACGAGAAACUUUGUCUGAACAUGGGGGACCAUCCUCCAAGGCUAAAUACUACUGACUGACCGAUAGUGAACCAGUACCGUGAGGGAAAGGCGAAAAGAACCCCGGAGAGGGGAGUGAAAUAGAACCUGAAACCGUAUGCGUACAAGCAGUGGGAGCCUACUUGUUAGGUGACUGCGUACCUUUUGUAUAAUGGGUCAGCGACUUAUAUUCAGUGGCGAGCUUAACCGAAUAGGGUAGGCGUAGCGAAAGCGAGUCUUAAUAGGGCGUUUAGUCGCUGGGUAUAGACCCGAAACCGGGCGAUCUAUCCAUGAGCAGGUUGAAGGUUAGGUAACACUGACUGGAGGACCGAACCCACUCCCGUUGAAAAGGUAGGGGAUGACUUGUGGAUCGGAGUGAAAGGCUAAUCAAGCUCGGAGAUAGCUGGUUCUCCUCGAAAGCUAUUUAGGUAGCGCCUCAUGUAUCACUCUGGGGGGUAGAGCACUGUUUCGGCUAGGGGGUCAUCCCGACUUACCAAACCGAUGCAAACUCCGAAUACCCAGAAGUGCCGAGCAUGGGAGACACACGGCGGGUGCUAACGUCCGUCGUGAAAAGGGAAACAACCCAGACCGCCAGCUAAGGUCCCAAAGUUGUGGUUAAGUGGUAAACGAUGUGGGAAGGCUUAGACAGCUAGGAGGUUGGCUUAGAAGCAGCCAUCCUUUAAAGAAAGCGUAAUAGCUCACUAGUCGAGUCGGCCUGCGCGGAAGAUGUAACGGGGCUCAAACCACACACCGAAGCUGCGGGUGUCACGUAAGUGACGCGGUAGAGGAGCGUUCUGUAAGCCUGUGAAGGUGAGUUGAGAAGCUUGCUGGAGGUAUCAGAAGUGCGAAUGCUGACAUGAGUAACGACAAUGGGUGUGAAAAACACCCACGCCGAAAGACCAAGGGUUCCUGCGCAACGUUAAUCGACGCAGGGUUAGUCGGUUCCUAAGGCGAGGCUGAAAAGCGUAGUCGAUGGGAAACAGGUUAAUAUUCCUGUACUUCUGGUUACUGCGAUGGAGGGACGGAGAAGGCUAGGCCAGCUUGGCGUUGGUUGUCCAAGUUUAAGGUGGUAGGCUGAAAUCUUAGGUAAAUCCGGGGUUUCAAGGCCGAGAGCUGAUGACGAGUCGUCUUUUAGAUGACGAAGUGGUUGAUGCCAUGCUUCCAAGAAAAGCUUCUAAGCUUCAGGUAACCAGGAACCGUACCCCAAACCGACACAGGUGGUCGGGUAGAGAAUACCAAGGCGCUUGAGAGAACUCGGGUGAAGGAACUAGGCAAAAUGGCACCGUAACUUCGGGAGAAGGUGCGCCGGCUAGGGUGAAGGAUUUACUCCGUAAGCUCUGGCUGGUCGAAGAUACCAGGCCGCUGCGACUGUUUAUUAAAAACACAGCACUCUGCAAACACGAAAGUGGACGUAUAGGGUGUGACGCCUGCCCGGUGCCGGAAGGUUAAUUGAUGGGGUUAGCGCAAGCGAAGCUCUUGAUCGAAGCCCCGGUAAACGGCGGCCGUAACUAUAACGGUCCUAAGGUAGCGAAAUUCCUUGUCGGGUAAGUUCCGACCUGCACGAAUGGCGUAACGAUGGCGGCGCUGUCUCCACCCGAGACUCAGUGAAAUUGAAAUCGCUGUGAAGAUGCAGUGUAUCCGCGGCUAGACGGAAAGACCCCGUGAACCUUUACUGUAGCUUUGCACUGGACUUUGAGCCUGCUUGUGUAGGAUAGGUGGGAGGCUUUGAAGCGUGGACGCCAGUUCGCGUGGAGCCAUCCUUGAAAUACCACCCUGGCAUGCUUGAGGUUCUAACUCUGGUCCGUGAUCCGGAUCGAGGACAGUGUAUGGUGGGCAGUUUGACUGGGGCGGUCUCCUCCUAAAGAGUAACGGAGGAGUACGAAGGUGCGCUCAGACCGGUCGGAAAUCGGUCGCAGAGUAUAAAGGCAAAAGCGCGCUUGACUGCGAGACAGACACGUCGAGCAGGUACGAAAGUAGGUCUUAGUGAUCCGGUGGUUCUGUAUGGAAGGGCCAUCGCUCAACGGAUAAAAGGUACUCCGGGGAUAACAGGCUGAUACCGCCCAAGAGUUCAUAUCGACGGCGGUGUUUGGCACCUCGAUGUCGGCUCAUCACAUCCUGGGGCUGAAGCCGGUCCCAAGGGUAUGGCUGUUCGCCAUUUAAAGUGGUACGCGAGCUGGGUUUAGAACGUCGUGAGACAGUUCGGUCCCUAUCUGCCGUGGACGUUUGAGAUUUGAGAGGGGCUGCUCCUAGUACGAGAGGACCGGAGUGGACGAACCUCUGGUGUUCCGGUUGUCACGCCAGUGGCAUUGCCGGGUAGCUAUGUUCGGAAAAGAUAACCGCUGAAAGCAUCUAAGCGGGAAACUUGCCUCAAGAUGAGAUCUCACUGGGAACUUGAUUCCCCUGAAGGGCCGUCGAAGACUACGACGUUGAUAGGCUGGGUGUGUAAGCGUUGUGAGGCGUUGAGCUAACCAGUACUAAUUGCCCGUGAGGCUUGACCAUAUAACACCCAAACA